AUCUGGGUGUGGUGGCAUGUGCCUGUAAUCCCAGCUACUUAGGAGGCUGAGGCAGGAGAACUGCUUGAACCCGGGUGGCGGAGAUUGCAGUAAACCGAGAUUGCACCACUGCACUCCAACCUGUGCAACAGAGUGAGACUUCUCAAAAAAAAAAAGAUCAUUUGGAACCUUGUUUUAAGGAUACGGGGCUAUUUAGGCUUUCUAUUUCUGUUUUUUUUUUUUUUAAUAGGGUCUUCUCUGUCACCCAGGCUGGAGUGCAGUGCUGCAGUCGUGGCUCACUGUAGCGUCAAUCUCCUGAGCUCAGGAAAACUAGACAAUCCACCAGCCCAGGAGGGGACAAGCAGGAUUAAUCCUCCUCCUCGUCAUCUCUGGCUCCAGCCCCACCCUGGCCCUUGCUGGCAUUCUUCCUCUUCACGUGGCUGGGUUUGGCCACCCCAAUAGGGAAGCAGAGGGAGAAGUCGAUGUGCUUCUGGGAAUCCAGGCGGAUAGUGAAGAACAGGAUAUUUACCACCUGCUCACGGACACGGAUAUGACACUGUUGGAUCAGCACAUGAGCGUGGCAGAUGGACUUAGCCAAG
rnacentral:antisense_RNA from 1 species